rnacentral:misc_RNA from 1 species
GGUAUGUUGGAUCCCUGCUCGAGCAGCGACGUCCUCUCGUGCAAGCCCCUUCAUUUCUCGGUCCAAGUGCAUCGUUUGCCUUGGCCGCCAGACGGUUUCCUGUGUUGCAUACCUACUUUGACGGCAUUCGUCUGUCCCAAUCGUCCCUCGUUCGCCUUGAGCUGGCCGUAACGGGCAUAGGCUCGGGGUGAACUCCAAAGCGCCCGCCGUGUCCCAAGCUACGGACGCUUCGGCGUGCCGGGGCCUUGGCCCUCGUCGGGUUGCUCGAGCUCUCGGAUGCGGAACGCCUUGCGGGUAGGGGGUCGCCGACCUCUGUUUGCCCAAAAAAAAAGCGUUCGUCGCUAACCAGCGCACGACUGCCGCGCCCGUCUUGAGCCACCGGCCCUCGGGCCGUCUUGGCUC